rnacentral:lncRNA from 1 species
UUGCUUUCACUUUACUGUAUGGACUCGCCCUGAAGUCUUUCUUGUGCAAGGUCCAAGAACCCUCUUUUGGAGUCUGGAUCAGAACCCCUUUCUGAUAACAGUUCCAGACCUUGAGGGGUCCUCAUGAAUCAGAUGAAGGAAGGAAGAAGUACCUGGACAACUUUGCCCAGAGAGUCAGCAGCUGUCUUGUAGAUAAGAACAAGCCCAGCCACAAUUUACCUUCCCGUGUGAUGGAAGAAGUAUCAACUGAGAGUGAGGGAGAUUUGACACACACAGAGAAGGCAAUGUGAAGAUGGAGAAGUAAAAGAUAUGGAGAUGCUGGCCUCGAAGACUGGAGUGAUGGAGCCACAUGCCAAGGAAUGCCAGCAGCUACCAGAAGCUGGGAGAGGUAAGGAGCGAAGGCCCUCCUGGCACCUUCAUUUCAGGGCAGUGAUACUGAGUUUUGAUUUCUGGUCUCCAGAACUGUGAGAUAAUACUUUUCUCUUUUAAAGCCACUAAGUUUGUGGUAAUUUGUUACAACAGCCACAAUGAAACUAAUAUAGAACUAGAGGAGAAAGAACUGACUUAGAAGACCCACUGCCUUGUUCACUACCAUAUACCUAGCACCCAGACCAAUGCCUAGCAUAUGGUAGUGCCCAAUAAAUAUUUGUGGAAAGAAUGAAUGGGCAGGAAGACAGGCCUGAGUGGUCCACCAUAUCACCUCUCUCCCCAGUCUGCAGUCUAGCCUUCUCUGCCUCCAGCCCAGAGGGCAUAAGAAGCAUCCUCCAGCACCCAGGCUUACAUGUUUCAGCUAGAGUUGCCCAAAGAGCUACCAAGAGAGGGUUUUGGCUUGUACUCCCUGGAAAACGGAGCCUGAGAGAUUCAGCUUGGUCAAGUACCCGCCCUAUUUAAUCAACAAAAAUGAAAUCACAUUGUGCCAAAGACUGUAACCCUAAGGAUGGGGGAAGAGGGCAGUUUCUAUGAAAAGGAAUGUCAGGCAGAUAAUCCAAUAGGUGUCCUGGACAAAGAGCACUGUUUCUGGGCUCCUCACCACACUCCUACAUUAGCUUUAGUCCUCCAGCUACUUUGAAGUGCACAUUAGUGUCCCAUUCACAGGCAAGGCAGCUCAAGACUAAGGCAGGUCAUUUGCCCAAAGGCAUACAAAGGUCGGUAGUAGGGCUAAAAUCCAGAUCUGCCCAGUAUCAAGAGGUAGUGCCUCUAAAUGCUGUGCUAGCCUGCCUUCAUCCUCCAGCUCCAUGCAGGAAGGAGACACCCCACGGCCACCAGUGGGCUCCUCCUUACUUCAGAUCUGGUUAGCACCAAGGUCAUGCUCUGUAAGACGUGGAUGUUCUGGGCAAAACACCAACAACUCACAAUGUUCUCAGCAAAACUUCAGGAAUACUGGAGUAAAAGGAACUAAGACAGAUACGUGUUUCUCUUCUUUAUUAAUCAGUCGAGAGAUACAAAGACUUAAUAAAAAGUUACACAGAA